rnacentral:rRNA from 1 species
AUGAGAGUGCCCAGUGGGCCACUUUUGGUAAGCAGAACGGCGCUGUGGGAUGAACCAAACGCCGGGUUACGGCGCCCGAUGCGAGACGCUCAUGAGAGCCCAUGAAAGGUGUUGGUUGCUAUAGACAGCAGGACGGUGGCCAUGGAAGUCGGAAUCCGCUAAGGAGUGUGUAACAACUCACCUGCCGAAGCAACUAGCCCUGAAAAUGGAUGGCUGCAGCGUCGAGCCCAUACCCGGCCGCCGCGGCAGAGUGUAAUCUCGAAGGGACACGGGAUGCUUACGCCGCGGUGAGUAGGAGGGUCGCAGCGGCGAGCGUUGAAGGUGCCGGGCGCGAGCCCGCCUGGAGCCGCCGCUGGUGCAGAUCUUGGUGGUAGUAGCAAAUACUCAAGUGAGAACCUUGAGGACUGAGGUGGAGAAGGGUUCCAUGUGAACAGCAGUUGAACAUGGGUCAGUCGGUCCUAAGGGAUAGGAGAAAUCCGUUCCGAAGCGGGUGUUUUUUAAAACGUCGUGCCCGCCGGUCGACCGAAAGGGAAUCGGGUUAAUAUUCCCGAACCCGGACGCGGAGAUCGGCCUCUCGGGGCCAAGUGCGGCGACGCAACCGAACUCGGAGAUGUCGACGGGAGUCCCGGGAAGAGUUGUCUUUUCUUUGUAAGGGCUCGGCUCCCUGGAAUCGGCUCGUCCGGAGAUAGGGAUGCUGUUCCCGUAAAGCACCGCGGCUCUUGCGGUGUCCGGAGCGCUCCCGUCGGCCCUUGAAAAUCCGAGGGAGGAAAUGA